UUGUGAAUUUCCGCGUAAAUGAGGAAUCAAUCAGUCGGCCGGUGGUGAAUUAUUCCCGAAAAAGAGCGCGUCUUACCUCGUUGUCGCUACGAAAGAAAAGUGACGAAAGAAUGAUGCCUUGCUUGGUCCUGCCCGGAUAUGAGUUAUCAUCGUGCGAGGUCGACAUAACCAUGUCGACUUUGGUAACGCAACUUUCUGACUGAAUCUAGGGUAACAGUGUUACACUGUUACACUGAGUAAUGCAGUUAGCUUAUACCACACAUCUUCCCCCUUCCCAGAAAAAACAGAUAUAAAAAUCUUUGAUCACUAAGAACACUUUUAUAUGCGCAAGUUUUGGUCAUCGCACCUUUUCAUAUGUAAGGCGAGAUUUAUCAAGCAUCAAGUAUCAAGUAAUUUUAGUCAUGAGGGAGCACAAAUCCAUGCUCAGCAGCAGGGGUAGGUUUAUGACAUUUGGUAUUUGUUUUUGUUUCAUCCUCAACGAUGUAAACAGUUGAAGGAGGAAAAACUGCUGCUAAGUUACGCUGCAUAUUCUCAAGUUUUUUUAUUGAUUCAAUCACUUAAUUUCUCAUCUUGAAGAUCCGCUUACCAUCCGGAAAACUAUGCAUAUGAAGGGAGCUGUUUUGCUGUCGGAUGUAAACAACCUGAUGCAAGUGUUGCGAGGUCAUUGAACUUAAAUUUCACAUCUGCAGUGGAGAUUGUCUGUGACCGACUACUAAAAGAGAGGAUGCUGUUCACUCAUUGCAAGGAAUCUACUGUAGUUCGAGCUCAAUCAAAUGCUCAUUCUCUGAAUUGAUCCGAAGGAUAAAGGAUAUGUUAUGAUCUGAGCUGAAGGCGCUGUUGAAUGAAAAACUGCAGGAUGGACUUCGUGAAAAAGUGCAUUUCAUUGCGGACAAGCUGGAGUUUCUGGUUUCUGGAGUUUCGGAUCAUGGUAUGCCUUUCACUACAUACACUAUAUUACAAAGAAAGAUCAAAUUGCUUAAGGCUUACAUACUUUAUUAAUUACUCUUCUGUUAUUUUCGACGCGAUGGGACUUGAAUUCACCUUUUAAUAAAGUGUGGCAUGUGAUCAUUCAUUUA